rnacentral:lncRNA from 1 species
CUUAUGUUUGUUUUCCAGCCUUUCCUCCCAAUGCUUCACUUCUAAUCUCUCUGCAGAAAGAAACAUUGCAAUAGAGAAUGAAGCGGAAAUUUAGACCUAUUAUCUUCUGAAAGUCCUGAACUCCCAUCCCUACCUUGCAAGGGAUUCCUCCAUUAACAGAAGCUAAUGCUAUCCCUGAAGGCAAGUUCCUUCCCAAGGGCAAUUCUGUUGGAAUGUUGGCUGCACAUCUUCCCAAGUAUUGUGGUAACUUCUCCAAAUAUGAGCAAACUUGAGCCUAGAAAGGGACAGGGGCUGGUUUGCGGGAGGAACCAGAGGAAUCCAGGUGAACAGUGUAAGGUUGCAAGAGUGUCCUGUCCUUUCUGCAUUUUGGAUGAGCUACCCAGAAUCAACAUGGACUUUACUUCCUAGCUAUCUAGAGGAAGGCAGGAAUGAAAGAGGCCUGCCAAUAGGUUUCCUUUGUAUGAGUUUCCUAGGACACAAACACGGACAGGGAGUUUCUGUUCUCCCCGUUUUGGAUUUUGCUGAGGCAGGUAGUUGAACUCUUUAAGGAAAUCUAGAUUUUCUCUGUCUUGGGAAAUCACUGGUAACAUCUGCCAGAAGGAGGUGAAUAAAAUGGAAAAGAAAAUUCUUAAGAGUCACGCCAAGAUUCAGAUUUACAACCCCACACAAUUCUUCUCCCAGCCCUUCCUUCAACUGAUAUUUGUUUCCCAGGAAGCAGAGAACAAUAGGCUAGUGAUUGAAUUUUGGUCUGAACUUCAGGCAGUUAAUGGUGAAGGAGUAAAAGCUAGUUGCAUUUAGAAUCAAAGUCCACAUACAGUGGUGCCUCAGUACUUGUGGUUAAUUGGUUCCGGGAGACAGGACGAGUACCAAAAAUGAUGAAUACCAAACAAAUUUUUCCCAUAAGAAAUAAUGUAAAUAAAUUUAAUGUGCUCCCAAACCAGUGAUAAUGCACAUUUUAAGGCAAUAUGUAAAACGAUAGGAUUGUAUAUCCUUACUUUACAUGAGAAAUAAACCUAAAAAUUAAUAAAUACUUAGAUUAAAUAAAUAAAAAUUUCAUGUUACCUGUACUGAGAAGAGUCCAUGGCCUAAUGGGAUAGUGGGAGGAGAGUGGUGAGGAGGAGAGGUCACAUGGACUGUUGCUUGGAAGGAGAGUCCCCUCCAACAGAACACUGGGCACUUGCACUUCAGGUGUUUGUUCUCUUUUCUGCCUUUUUUAAACUUGCAACACAGGCUCUGACACACUCCUUGUCACCUUCACCAAAAA